GCCCUGGCAGUCAGAGGCGAUGAAGGACGUGCUAAUCUGCGAUAAGCGUCGGUAAGGUGAUAUGAACCGUUAUAACCGGCGAUUUCCGAAUGGGGAAACCCAGUGUGAUUCGUCACACUAUCAUUAACUGAAUCCAUAGGUUAAUGAGGCGAACCGGGGGAACUGAAACAUCUAAGUACCCCGAGGAAAAGAAAUCAACCGAGAUUCCCCCAG
rnacentral:rRNA from 1 species